rnacentral:rRNA from 1 species
GACGAACGCUGGCGGCGUGCUUAACACAUGCAAGUCGAACGGGUCUGCCCUGUUUUUUGCGGGGUGGGUCAGUGGCGACCGGGUGAGUAACACGUGAGUAACCUGCCCCUCACUUCUGGAUAACCGCUUGAACGGGUGGCUAAUACGGGGUGCUCUGGCUGUGCCGCAUGGUGUGGCUGGGAAAGAUUCACUUUUGUGGUGUUUUGGUGGGGGAUGGGCUCGCGGCCUAUCAGUUUGUUGGGGGGGUGAUGGCCGGCCAAGGCUUUGACGGGUAGCCGGCGUGGGAGGGUGGGCGGUCACACUGGGAGUGAGAUCCGGCACAGACUCCGGCGGGAGGCAGAAGGGGGGGGUAUUGAACAAUGGGAGGCAGCCUGAUGCAGCGACGGCGCGUGAGGGAUGGAGGCCUUCGGGUUGUGAACCUCUUUCGCGGGUGAAGAAGGUCCUGCUCUUAGGGGUGGGGUUGACGGUAGCCGGGUUAUGAAGCGCCGGCUAACUACGUG